GAUUAGGUAGUUUAAAAAGAACUUAGCACUGAAGUUGCUAAAGAGGCAAAAAUGCCCCAAAUCA
rnacentral:tRNA from 1 species